rnacentral:lncRNA from 1 species
CUGAUGUAUAAAUAACCAUGGGUUCCUAGAACCACAGAAUGAGAAUGUUCGCACUGAAAGCAAGCUUGGAAGACAUCCAGCUUGACCUCCGCACUUGGCCGGUUUGUAAACACAUGUCCAGAGAGGAGGAGAAAACUGCCCACGGCCACAGGGCUGGUCUGCGGCCGCCCACGCGUGGCUCCGCUGCCCGCCUGGCUGGAUGGCCGGCCCCAAAAGCACGCGCCCAUUUGAGGGGUCGCGGCCCCAGCUCUCUCUUGCCAGAACACGCUGGCUUCUCCUGGACGCGUCCCCGCCCCUCACGGCGUGGCGUCAGUGUGAUCCCUUCUUUCCUGAGGACGCAGGACACCCGGAGUCAGGGACGAGAGACGCCUGGCCCAUGGGCAGCUUUGAUGCAAGUGAAGAGAACAGAUGCCUGGGAGGAGCGGCGAUCCGCUGGGGGCCUCCAGCUACGCCAGCCCCUGCCCCCCACAGACCCCUGCCCUCCAACGGGCCCCUGCCCCCCUCAGGCCCUGCCCCUGCCUCUGGCCAGCCUCUCUGCUCCGUCCCCUCUGCCCCCGCCCCCCCCUCAGCUCCCUCUGGACUGCACCCCUUCUGCUCGUUGGUUUUCUUCCCUCGUUUGCUGCCCUUUGACCCCCAGCUUAGCUUCCUGUCUUGACUGCCCUCGGUGCCGGCCUCUGGCUUGUCUUUCCACGGUCCUGAGUUGUGCCCCGAGUCGAGCCCCACACUGCACCUGGCAGGCUCGGGGUCAGCUGCAGCCGGCAGGCUUGGGGUCCCCUGCACCGGCUGUCUCGGGAUCCCCUGCACCUGGCUCUCUCGGGGUCCCCUGCACCCGGCAGGCUCGGGGUCCCCUGCACCUGGCUCUCUUGGGAUCCCCUGCACCCGGCAGGCUCGGGCUCCCCUGCAGCCGGCAGGCUCGGGGUCCCCUGCACCCGGCAGGCUCGGGGUCCCCUGCACCCGGCCCAAAUCAGGCUGUUUGUCCGCCACCACCUGCUGCUGUCCUCAGGGGCCCCCAGAGCUGCUGUGGCCCAGGGUCUCUGACCAGUGAGCUGCCCUUGCCCGGCGUGGCCUCGCUGCUGAGGCUCGAGUGGCCUCUAAAGCCCUGCGGGGGCGUAGGAGGUGACUCGUCAGGCCUGGGGGGACGCGAGGAGCGAGGUGCUCCAGCUGAUUUAAGUAUUUGCUUCAAAGAAUGUUUUAUUGUUUCUUAGUGGAAGAAAGAAGAAAAUUCCCAAGGAGUCUAACCUCCCUGCAGUGAGAGGGAGCCCUCCGCUUCCCUUAUCUUCACCCUGAUUUGCAAACACACGCUCCUUGCUGGGACCUGGACCAGCCCCUGCUUGCUUGGAGAUGGUCUGACAGUCACUUCAAAGAACAAAUGCAAGGUGCUGAACGGGGACCUCCACUCCCCUGGUGGGACGACUCCACGCAAAUGUACAGCACUAUUGUGAAAUUGCUAGAAAGUCCCAAAGAGGGAACUGACAUUUUUCAUGUUGUCCCAUUAUACUCUUGAGCUUACAUAUUCUAUGAAUUCUGGAAUAAAAGUCGAAGUCUCCAAAAGUUUAAUAAUCUUAACUGUACAGGGAAUUUUUUCAGUUAAGGAUGGUUAUUUUUCAGUAGUUUCUAACACGAGGUUAGUAAAUCCAACUGCUUUUUUAGAAAAAUAUUAGGGGUGGAAUAAAUAAAACAGCAUACUAUUUUAAACACCAGAAAAAUUACUGCUUGCUCUGUCCCUAGCUAGCUAUGGAAUCCUGGGAAAGCCGUUUCAUCUCUACAAGUCUUGUGUACCUGUUUCUAAAAUUGAAGUAUGGGUUUGAUGGUCCAAAGCAUUUUCUGGUUUCACACAAAUGUUAAGAAGUAAUAUUUGUACUGGGUUUGUACUGCAAAUAGAUUCAAUGUUUAUGUGAUUGUAUAUGACUUGCUUUAUAUGGAAAUGGCAAGCUUCAUAGAAAAGAAGGUAUCCCCAGAAUUCCAAGGAAUAGAAGGUCAUGUUAGCCUAUGGAAGGUCAUGUUAGCCUAUGGAAGGUCAGGUUAAACUGUGGAAGGUCAUGUUAGCCUGCAGAAGGUCACAUUAUUUUAAGAAAGUUAGUGUUAGCCUGUGGAAGGUCGUGUGAGCAUAUGGAAGGUCAAAUUAGCCUAGCCAGCAGGAGACGCUGCUCAGACAAGGCGCUGCCUUUCUCUAUUUGUGUGACUUUGGAUACUUUGCUUGGGUAUUCUCUUUAAGCCUUAUGUGCAAAAUGUCUAUAAUAAUAUAAUUAUUAUGAUAAUAUUAUUACAAAGUAUCAAUUGAGUGCUUUAUGGAGG